rnacentral:rRNA from 1 species
AGAGUUUGAUCAUGGCUCAGGAUGAACGCUAGCGGCAGGCUUAAUACAUGCAAGUCGUGGGGCAGCAUGACUGUAGCAAUACAGUUGAUGGCGACCGGCAAACGGGUGCGGAACACGUACACAACCUUCCUUUUAGUGGAGAAUAGCCCAGGGAAACUUGGAUUAAUACUCCGUAACAUAUAGAAGUGGCAUCACUUUUAUAUUAUAGCAGCAAUGCGCUAGAAGAUGGGUGUGCGGCUGAUUAGAUAGUUGGCGGGGUAACGGCCCACCAAGUCGACGAUCAGUAACUGGUGUGAGAGCACGACCAGUCACACGGGCACUGAGACACGGGCCCGACUCCUACGGGAGGCAGCAGUAAGGAAUAUUGGUCAAUGGACGCAAGUCUGAACCAGCCAUGCCGCGUGGAGGAUGAAGGUCCUCUGGAUUGUAAACUUCUUUUAUCUGGGAAGAAAUCCAUUUUUUCUAAAAUGGUUGACGGUACCAGAUGAAUAAGCACCGGCUAACUCCGUGCCAGCAGCCGCGGUAAUACGGAGGGUGCAAGCGUUAUCCGGAUUCACUGGGUUUAAAGGGUGCGUAGGUGGGCAAGUAAGUCAGUGGUGAAAUCUCCGGGCUUAACCCGGAAACUGCCAUUGAUACUAUUUGUCUUGAAUACUGUGGAGGUCAGCGGAAUAUGUCAUGUAGCGGUGAAAUGCUUAGAUAUGACAUAGAACACCAAUUGCGAAGGCAGCUGGCUACACAAAUAUUGACACUGAGGCACGAAAGCGUGGGGAUCAAACAGGAUUAGAUACCCUAGUAGUCC